AUACGGAGGGUGCGAGCGUUAAUCGGAAUUACUGGGCGUAAAGCGUACGUAGGCGGUUGGUUAAGUUAGAUGUGAAAGCCCCGGGCUUAACCUGGGAACUGCAUUUAAAACUGGCGAACUAGAGUUGAGUAGAGGGGAGUGGAAUUUCAGGUGUAGCGGUGAAAUGCGUAGAGAUCUGAAGGAACACCAGUGGCGAAGGCGACUCUCUGGACUCGAACUGACGCUGAGGUACGAAAGCGUGGGUAGCAAACGGGAUUAGAAACCCCGGUAGUCC
rnacentral:rRNA from 1 species